CAACUCUGGUUUCUCUACAGUCACGUAUAAAUCUUUCGCCUUUUACUAAAGAUUUCCGUGCAGAGGAACAUGCUAUGAGUCUAUAGACUUAUUUCUGUUGUCCCUUUAAUUAGGGAUA
rnacentral:snRNA from 1 species